ACGGGUGCGUAACGCGUGGGAAUCUGCCCUCUGGUACGGAAUAACUCAGGGAAACUUGAGCUAAUACCGUAUAAUGACUUCGGUCCAAAGAUUUAUCGCCUGAGGAUGAGCCCGCGUCGGAUUAGCUAGUUGGUGAGGUAAAAGCUCACCAAGGCGACGAUCCGUAGCUGGUCUGAGAGGAUGAUCAACCACACUGGGACUGAGACACGGCCCAGACUCCUACGGGAGGCAGCAGUGGGGAAUAUUGGACAAUGGGCGAAAGCCUGAUCCAGCAAUGCCGCGUGAGUGAUGAAGGCCUUAGGGUUGUAAAGCUCUUUUACCCGGGAUGAUAAUGACAGUACCGGGAGAAUAAGCCCCGGCUAACUCCGUGCCAGCAGCCGCGGUAAUACGGAGGGGGCUAGCGUUGUUCGGAAUUACUGGGCGUAAAGCGCACGUAGGCGGCUUUGUAAGUUAGAGGUGAAAGCCCGGGGCUCAACUCCGGAAUUGCCUUUAAGACUGCAUCGCUAGAAUUGUGGAGAGGUAAGUGGAAUUCCGAGUGUAGAGGUGAAAUUCGUAGA
rnacentral:rRNA from 1 species